CCUACGGGCGGCAGCAGUGGGGAAUAUUGCACAAUGGGCGCAAGCCUGAUGCAGCCAUGCCGCGUGUGUGAAGAAGGCCUUCGGGUUGUAAAGCACUUUCAGCGGGGAGGAAGGCGAUAAGGUUAAUAACCUUGUCGAUUGUCGUUACCCGCAGAAGAAGCACGGGCUAACUCCGUGCCAGCAGCCGCGGUAAUACGGAGGGUGCGAGCGUUAAUCGGAAUUACUGGGCGUAAAGCGCACGCAGGCGGUCUGUCAAGUCGGAUGUGAAAUCCCCGGGCUCAACCUGGGAACUGCAUUCGAAACUGGCAGGCUAGAGUCUUGUAGAGGGGGGUAGAAUUCCAGGUGUAGCGGUGAAAUGCGUAGAGAUCUGGAGGAAUACCGGUGGCGAAGGCGGCCCCCUGGACAAAGACUGACGCUCAGGUGCGAAACCGUGGGGAGCAAACAGGAUUAGAUACCCGAGUAGUC
rnacentral:rRNA from 1 species